rnacentral:rRNA from 1 species
AACGAACGCUGGCGGCAUGCCUAACACAUGCAAGUCGAACGAGACCUUCGGGUCUAGUGGCGCACGGGUGCGUAACGCGUGGGAAUCUGCCCUUGGGUUCGGAACAACAGUUGGAAACGACUGCUAAUACCGGAUGAUGACUUCGGUCCAAAGAUUUAUCGCCCAAGGAUGAGCCCGCGUAGGAUUAGCUUGUUGGUGAGGUAAAAGCUCACCAAGGCGACGAUCCUUAGCUGGUCUGAGAGGAUGAUCAGCCACACUGGGACUGAGACACAGCCCAGACCCCUCCGGGAGGCAGCAGUGGGGAAUAUUGGACAAUGGGCGAAAGCUUGAUCAAGCAAUGCCGCGUGAGUGAUGAAGGCCUUAGGGUUGUAAAGCUCUUUUACCCGGGAUGAUAAUGACAGUACCGGGAGAAUAAGCCCCGGCUAACUCCGUGCCAGCCGCCGCCGUAA